CGGCAACAGCUCAAAUUUGAAAUCUGGCUCUCUUUGGGGGUCCGAGUUGUAAUUUGCAGAGGAUGCUUUGGCAUUGGCGGCGGUCUAAGUUCCUUGGAACAGGACAUCACAGAGGGUGAGAAUCCCGUA
rnacentral:rRNA from 1 species